AUUGAACGCUGGCGGCAUGCCUUACACAUGCAAGUCGAACGGCAGCAUAGGAGCUUGCUCCUGAUGGCGAGUGGCGAACGGGUGAGUAAUAUAUCGGAACGUGCCCUAGAGUGGGGGAUAACUAGUCGAAAGACUAGCUAAUACCGCAUACGAUCUACGGAUGAAAGUGGGGGAUCGCAAGACCUCAUGCUCCUGGAGCGGCCGAUAUCUGAUUAGCUAGUUGGUGGGGUAAAAGCCUACCAAGGCGACGAUCAGUAGCUGGUCUGAGAGGACGACCAGCCACACUGGGACUGAGACACGGCCCAGACUCCUACGGGAGGCAGCAGUGGGGAAUGUUGGACAAUGGGGGCAACCCUGAUCCAGCAAUGCCGCGUGAGUGAAGAAGGCCUUCGGGUUGUAAAGCUCUUUUGUCAGGGAAGAAACGGUAGUAGCGAAUAACUAUUACUAAUGACGGUACCUGAAGAAUAAGCACCGGCUAACUACGUGCCAGCCGCCGCCGUAACAC
rnacentral:rRNA from 1 species